rnacentral:rRNA from 1 species
UAGGGAAUCUUCCGCAAUGGACGCAAGUCUGACGGAGCAACGCCGCGUGUGUGAAGAAGGUUUUCGGAUCGUAAAGCACUGUUAUUAGAGAAGAACAGCCGAUAGAGUAACUGUUAUCGGUUUGACGGUAUCUAACCAGAAAGUGACGGCUAACUACGUGCCAGCAGCCGCGGUAAUACGUAGGUCACAAGCGUUGUCCGGAUUUAUUGGGCGUAAAGGGAGCGCAGGCGGUUUGUUAAGUCUGAUGUGAAAGCCCACGGCUCAACCGUGGAACGGCAUUGGAAACUGGCAAACUUGAGUAUAGAAGAGGAAAGUGGAAUUCCAUGUGUAGCGGUGAAAUGCGUAGAUAUAUGGAGGAACACCAGUGGCGAAGGCGACUUUCUGGUCUAUAACUGACGCUGAGGCUCGAAAGCGUGGGGAGCGAACA